AGGCCGCCCUCUGCCGGUCUGUCUGGAAAUGUGUGCCUGGAGGAGGCAGGACAAAUGCACGUGACCCUCAGACCUGACCCGAAGUCUGCAGAGUGAAACCUAUUUACCCGGGUACUCCGCUCAGCCGUAGGAUAAGCCAGGGAACCGGAGACCAGACUGGAACGGAAUCUGCAAAAGCAAACUCCACAGAGGGAGCGUGGGAACUGGAAGGCCUCGUAACCCCUUUUCUCUCGCGACCGCUAGGAACACCCCUCUCAUUGUACAGCGCCCAGGAGUGAGCCAGUGGGUACCAGGGAGCGCAGGGGGCGGGGCCAGGAUGGGCGAGCACACCCAGGGUCCGUGGCUGGCGGCUUGGCCAACCUGAACUCAUCCGCCUCAGUAUUUCCACCUGAGCUGUGGGCGAGGGAGGGCCUUGGCAAAGAGCGCCAGGAAGAAGCCCCUGAAACGGAAGGAACUGCCUUCCAUCCACUCCACGCAGAGAAGGCGAGAACCUCUGAACCCUCGGAAGCCUGCCCUAGACCCCACCCCUGGGGGAGCUGAGGCCGUCUCUCCCCCUCCCCGGAGGGCGGCGCCAGGGCCAGUUGCGGACAACGGGGGCAUGACCCCUUGCUGCUGUGGGGGAAGGGAGUGCGACCGUGACUCUCCAGGCUGGGGCAUCCGGACGUGCCACGUGGUGCUGGGCAUCAUGGGGCCAGAGCAGGCGGCUAGAAGACCAAAGAGGAGCGGGUUUAAGAGCUGCCGGUGGCUGUAUGCAGGUCCAGAAAAUCGACUGUGUUUCCUGGUGGAUUCCACCCAGGGAAGAGAGCCCUGGGAAUGCCCAGACACGUUUGUUGGAAGGAAUGGAUGAGUGGCUAACAGGCGAGCCCCCAGGAUGCAAACGCAUUUACCAAUUCACUGGCAGAAACCUUAGCUGCCUCUUCUGGAAGCCACCAUUCGGCCCAGCCGGGACAGAAAAAGAGCCACUCUCCAUUGUACUGGCCAGGAGGUGUGCAAAUGCAGUUGUGCAGAUGCUUACCGCUGCUGUAAUCCAGCAUGUCCACACCGUAACCAUCAGACCUGGCUGGGUUGGGGCCCUGUCAGAGAGACAGGGAAGCGUCAGAUAGGGAAGGCUGGGAAGAAGGAUGCAGCGGGAGGCCCCCCACAGCCGAGGCUGAAAGGCAUCAUGGACGCUUUGGGCUACCACUUCCAAUGUUUUGCCUAAUGUUUAGGGUAUUCAUGGGGUUUGUGCAAGUGUGUCCACAGGCCCCUGUAGCCAGAACAUGGGACUAGGCUUUCUGAAGACCGUGCAUUCCGGCGCUGACUUUUCCUAUCAAUGGGAGAGACGUGGGCUAUUGACCUAGCGGCCUUCUCUUCUCCAUCUAUUGUCGCGGCUCAAUCACGCACUUACCAGAAGAAAAGCGAGUUUAUCUUAGCCUGGAGGAGCCUCAGGUUGCGUGUGUGUGACUAAAGGGUGGGGGAAGUUCUGCAGCCACGACUCUGCAGAUGGGUUGAGGAUAGACACUUUCAGAAAAGGGCCAAUUUCCCCUUCACAAUGAGCGCUAAGUACGUGAUAAAUGGGGCUGGUGUUUAUUCAUGAGCAGGUACUUGGGAGAUGGCGAUUAGA
ensembl:lncRNA